rnacentral:snRNA from 1 species
GUGCUCUCUUCAGCUAUACAUAUAAUAAAAUUGAAAGAGUACAGAAUGCUAUAGCAUGCUCCCUGUGCAAUAAUAAUAUGCAAAUACGUGAAGCAUUCCAUAUUUUC